rnacentral:rRNA from 1 species
CUACGGGAUGCAGCAGUGGGGAAUAUUGCACAAUGGGCGCAAGCCUGAUGCAGCCAUGCCGCGUGUAUGAAGAAGGCCUUCGGGUUGUAAAGUACUUUCAGCGGGGAGGAAGGGAGUAAAGUUAAUACCUUUGCUCAUUGACGUUACCUGCAGAAGAAGCACCGGCUAACUCCGUGCCAGCAGCCGCGGUAAUACGGAGGGUGCAAGCGUUAAUCGGAAUUACUGGGCGUAAAGCGACGCAGGCGGUUUGUUAAGUCAGAUGUGAAAUCCCCGGGCUCAACCUGGGAACUGCAUCUGAUACUGGCAAGCUUGAGUCUCGUAGAGGGGGGUAGAAUUCCAGGUGUAGCGGUGAAAUGCGUAGAGAUCUGGAGGAAUACCGGUGGCGAAGGCGGCCCCCUGGACGAAGACUGACGCUCAGGUGCGAAAGCGUGGGGAGCAAACAGGAUUAGAUACCCGUGUAGUC